GGCCGACUGGGUCUUCGUGCACAUGCGUAUCCUGGAGUUGCGCGUCCGCUGUAGGCCGCUUGCGGCUGCGAGGGUCCGCAGGGCUGUCGCGGGUUUAUUUAAUCGGCACGGACUCUUCUGUCAGGUGUCAGACUCCUGUUCCUCCUGCGGCUGUCCGGCGCGUGCCUGUUCCGUCUGGGCACGAGUCCGUGAGAGAGAAGUCACGCCCUCUUCCCCAGAGGGUGUGGAGCGCGAGGUUCGCGCGAGUCAGGUAGGAUAUUUUAUAACAGUAGAUCUCCAAGUGUGGUCCCUGGACAAGCAGCAUCACCAUCACCUGUGAACUUGUUACAAAGGAAGAUUCUUGAAACUCUACCUCAGACCUUCUGAAUCAGAACUCUGGAGGUAAGACUCAGAAAUCUAUGUUUAGGCAAGUCGAAGGAAUCUGAAACACUUUAAAACUUGAGAACUGCUGUUUUUUUAAAAUAUAUUUUUAUUAUUUUUUAUUGUUUUUAUUUUAUUUUUUUGAGAACUGUUUUAAGAGUCAUCUUCAUUUUAUUUAUUUUUAUUUAUUUAUUUUUAAAAGAUUUUAUUUAUUUAUUCAUGAUAGACAUAGAGAGAGAGAGAGAGAGAGAGAGAGAGGCAGAGACACAGGCAGAGAGAGAAGCAGGCUCCAUGCCGGGAGCCCGACGCGGGACUUGAUCCCAGGACUCCAGGAUCGCGCCCUGGGCCAAAGGCAGGCGCUAAACCACUAAGCCACCCAAGGAUCCCCAGUCAUCUUCAUUUUAAAAUAAUAUAUAGAGAGUUGAUUGUAUUGAACUAUCAAGUGCUUUGGUAAUAGGAGAACAUUAAAUAAAGUAGCAACUGGUAAAACUUUAUCUCUUCCAGCAAGUUUCUUUGUGCCCAUUACACAUUUUUCCAUUGUCAAUAGAUUUGGCAGGAAUGGAGUAAAGUUGAAGGAUAUAGAUCACAAUCUCUGAAACAGUAAAUAAAUUAAAGUUCUUCUAUAUUUGUUGAGUUGCAGCCAGGAAAAAAGAAAAAGGAAAAACUAAAGCAAAAAAAAAAAAAAAAACACAAAAAACCAAAAAACCUCUCACAAAUCUGAUCAAAAAUACAAGUGGACAGGAGCUGGACACUUUUUAGAAUAGAAUGUCUGCAGGCUCUGGCCACAGAGAAAGCUCUUACUCAACAUAUGUUGCAAGUUGUGAGUACUAAUUCUAUCCAUAUUUGCCUUUCAUUUAUGUGGUUUUCAUUUGUGGCUGGGUCUGCUUUACAGGUGCCCUGUGUUCCAGAGAAUGGAGAUCAAAAGAAUUCACUUCUCAGGAUUUCAGAACUGUAUAGCCAAGAGAUGAAAUGUUUCUCUGGUAUCACCAUUUUUUUUUUUUUUUUAUGAAUGAGGCGUCUGGGUUUCUCAGGGAAAACUCUUCCCUUAAAAUAACAACAACAAAAUUCCUGUG
rnacentral:lncRNA from 1 species